rnacentral:tRNA from 1 species
GGACGAUUAGCUCAGCUGGGAGAGCAUCUGCCUUACAAGCAGGGGGUCACAGGUUCGAGCCCUGUAUCGUCCA